rnacentral:rRNA from 1 species
UAAGUAAGUGGUGGAAAUUAAACCAAAUGGGAUAUCUUUAGUAAUUGCGAAUGAACAAGGAUAUGCUUAGCUUGACAAAUGGAGCUAUUGGCUUUGAAGUGUAUUGUGGAAAUGUAUUACCAACAGAGGUGCAGGUGCCAGCCUAUUGAAAUAAAGCGUCAAUGAGGUGAGAAUCCUGUUUGUCAUGUGCAGCCCUUUGUGCACGGUGUAUAUUUGCUGAGUCACACUCCUUGGCAUUGGAAUGCAAAGUGGGUGGUAAGUUUCAUGUAAAGGUAAACAUGCAAUUGAGACUGAUAGCACACAAGUACCAUGAGGGAAAUAUGAAAAGGACUUUGAAAAGAGAAUUAAAUGAGUUUGUAUUUGCUGAACACAAAGUAAACAGACUUGAUUUGCUUGGUGGGAGUGUUGCACUUGCUUGACAAGAGCUUUGGGCUGUGGGUGUAAUGAUUCUUUCUUUGCAUGCCAGUUUCUAUUUGUACAUCUGAUUACCUUUGCACAUGAAUGAUAAGUCUCCUGUGGGGGGUGGAUUGCAUGUGCAUGUAAUGAUUUGUGUUUUGAUAAAUGUGUCUGGUGUAUGUGUGUGUUCCUGUGCUUGGGGAUGCUUCCUUCCUUGGACUUACAAGCCCUGACGCACACAUGCUGGCAAAAUGCUUCUGCUUGACCCG